rnacentral:rRNA from 1 species
UGGGGAAUUUUGGACAAUGGGCGAAAGCCUGAUCCAGCAAUGCCGCGUGUGUGAAGAAGGCCUUCGGGUUGUAAAGCACUUUUGUCCGGAAAGAAAUCCUUGGCUCUAAUACAGUCGGGGGAUGACGGUACCGGAAGAAUAAGCACCGGCUAACUACGUGCCAGCAGCCGCGGUAAUACGUAGGGUGCAAGCGUUAAUCGGAAUUACUGGGCGUAAAGCGUGCGCAGGCGGUUUGCUAAGACCGAUGUGAAAUCCCCGGGCUCAACCUGGGGACUGCAUUGGUGACUGGCAGGCUAGAGUAUGGCAGAGGGGGGUAGAAUUCCACGUGUAGCAGUGAAAUGCGUAGAGAUGUGGAGGAAUACCGAUGGCGAAGGCAGCCCCCUGGGCCAAUACUGACGCUCAUGCACGAAAGCGUGGGGAGCAAACAGGAUUAGAUACCCUGGUAGUCCACGCCCUAAACGAUGUCAACUAGUUGUUGGGGAUUCAUUUCCUUAGUAACGUAGCUAACGCGUGAAGUUGACCGCCUGGGGAGUACGGUCGCAAGAUUAAAACUCAAAGGAAUUGACGGGGUCAUAGCUG